rnacentral:rRNA from 1 species
CCUACGGGAGGCAGCAGUGAGGAAUAUUGGUCAAUGGACGAGAGUCUGAACCAGCCAAGUAGCGUGAAGGAUGACUGCCCUAUGGGUUGUAAACUUCUUUUAUAUGGGAAUAAAACGUUCCACGUGGGGGAUUUUGUAUGUACCAUAUGAUUAAGGAUCGGCUAACUCCGUGCCAGCAGCCGCGGUAAUACGGAGGAUCCGAGCGUUAUCCGGAUUUAUUGGGUUUAAAGGGAGCGUAGGUGGAUUGUUAAGUCAGUUGUGAAAGUUUGCGGCUCAACCGUAAAAUUGCAGUUGAAACUGGCAGUCUUGAGUACAGUAGAGGUGGGCGGAAUUCGUGGUGUAGCGGUGAAAUGCUUAGAUAUCACGAAGAACUCCGAUUGCGAAGGCAGUUCACUGGACUGCAACUGACACUGAGGCUCGAAAGUGUGGGUAUCAAACAGGAUUAGAUACCCCUGGUAGUC